CACGUAGGGGGCGAGCGUUGUCCGGAUUUAUUGGGCGUAAAGAGCUCGUAGGCGGCUCGGUAAGUCAGGUGUGAAACCUCCAGGCUCAACCUGGAGACGCCACCUGAUACUGCCGUGGCUAGGGUCCGGUAGAGGAGCGUAGAAUUCCUGGUGUAGCGGUGAAAUGCGCAGAUAUCAGGAGGAAUACCAGCGGCGAAGGCGGCGCUCUGGGCCGGUACUGACGCUGAGGAGCGAAAGCGUGGGGAGCAAACAGG
rnacentral:rRNA from 1 species